rnacentral:lncRNA from 12 species
GGAGACCUGGGAUCGAGUCCCACGUCGGGCUCCCUGCAUGGAGCCCGCUUCUCUCUCUACCUCUCUCUACCUCUCUCCCUCUCUCUCUGAAUGAAUAAAUAAAUAUAUAAAUCUUAAAAAAAAAAAAAAGACACAUGGGAGUGGACCUCAGAAUAAAGAUCUGUUCUAGAACAAGAACCUUCGGGGUCAUCAGCAAAUAGACAACGAAGGUAAAGCCAUAGAGGUGAAUGCUACCAAGUGGGGGUAGGGAGGCAGUUAGAAGAAAGUGGGAUCCUGCCCUAAGUAAUACAACAAGAGUCAGAGAGGUGUUCUGUAUACGUUUGUGUAGCAAAGGCCUUAUGAAACAUGUAACACUUGACCCAGCGAUAAACACCUGCACAAUCCACCUCGAUGAUUCUCCUUCCAGCAAAUGUAUCCCAAAUGAGCGAUCAGAGAUGCACUCAACUAUGUAUGCAGAUGUAGAGGUCUCCAGCUAAAGACACGGAUAUGCACACCAGCCUGUGGUAGGCAUCUUUGGACAUGACUUCAAUUUACUCUGUCUUCUGGUCUUCAUGCUCUUAUGUUACCCCACUGGAUGUGGGCUGCACUUAGCCACUUGUUUCUAUCACAGAUAGAACAUGGCAAAAUGACGGGAUGGCUCUUCUGUGAUUAGGUUAGAAAGACUGACGUCUAUCUUGCUGGCAUGCAUACGUUCUCUCUCUCUCUCUCUCUUUCUCUCUUUCUCUCUCUCUCUCUCUUUCUCACCCUCUCCCUUGCUCUGAUGAUGUUAGCCGUCAGGCUGUGAGCUGCCCUAUGCAGAGGUCCACGCAGAAAAGGAUGAAGGGAGGACCCUAUCCAACAGCCCGUGAAGAACUGAGGCACUCAGACCACCAACCCACAAAGAACUGAAUCCUGCCAACAACCACAUGCCUGCUCUAGGAAGUGGGUCCUUGCCGGUCAAGCCUUUAGAUGAGACCAGAGCCCCGGCCAACACCUUGAUGAGAGUCUGUGCAUGACCCAGCUAAGCCAUGCUCAGAUUCCCACCUGCACAGACUGUGUUAAUAAAAAGUAGUUUUAAGCCA